CACCAAGGGCUGCUGUUCCCACGGCUUCUGUCACGACACUGCUCUGCUCGGUGGCUCCGAUACACGUUCUCCACUAAGAGAAACCCCAUCUAAGGUAACACAGAGAGAGAGCUUCGCUCCCAGGUGGAGCCUGCCUCCACGCUUGUGAAGCUCGGCACCUCCGGUCGGUCGCACUCACAGAGCUUGGGUCCACCGUCCACCCCGCCUCCAUUUCACAGGCAGCACGGGGACCGCCAGGCGCACGGGGCCCAGUCUGCGCGUCGCUGCCGGGAACCCGCUCCCGUCUCCCGCCCGGCCCCGCCUUUCCUGCAGCAAACACUUGUGUCUGCCUUGUGCUGGGAGCUCUGGUGGCCCUGGCGGAGUCGAGGUCACGGCAACACAGUCCCCAUCGAGUGGAGGAGGCCCUGAGACCGAGUCCGGACCCGGUGAUGAGACGCUUCUCGGGGCGGCAGGGCCCCUGUGGGCACUUCCCACGGACGGUCCGCGAGGGCAGGAGGCUUCCGCUGGCUCUUCACGACCGUGGGCACCGAGUAGCAGGAGGAAGAAACGUACCCAGGAGGGCAGAGCCCGGGGGUUCCGGGCUCGGGGGCGGGAGGCCCGGGCUGAGCCCCGAGGACCCACGCUCACAGAGCUUGGAGUGUGAAGCUGAGGGUCCGAGUGAAGAUUAAGGCGGAAUGUUUGGAGUGCGGUAGGUUGUGGGACGCUCUGGUAAGGCUCUAGGGGGCUUGUCAGGAAAGUGAGGUGGUGAAAGCCACUAAACCCUCCGGCACCCUCACGAGGCAGCACGGGGAACGGGAGGGACUCGUGGGCCUGAAGCCGA